rnacentral:rRNA from 1 species
UACGGGGGGGGCGAGCGUUGUUCGGAAUUACUGGGCGUAAAGGGUUUGUAGGUGGUCUGCUAAGUCAGACGUGAAAUCCCUCAGCUUAACUGGGGAACUGCGUCUGAUACUGGCGGACUUGGGGACAGGAGAGGAACGCGGAAUUCCAGGUGUAGCGGUGAAAUGCGUAGAUAUCUGGAGGAACACCGGUGGCGAAGGCGGCGUUCUGGACUGUUUCUGACACUGAAAAACGAAAGCCAGGGGAGCAAACGGG